rnacentral:rRNA from 1 species
CUACGUGCCAGCAGCCGCGGUAAUACGUAGGGCGCGAGCGUUGUCCGGAAUUAUUGGGCGUAAAGAGCUUGUAGGCGGUUUGUCGCGUCUGCUGUGAAAGGCCGGGGCUUAACUCCGUGUAUUGCAGUGGGUACGGGCAGACUAGAGUGCAGUAGGGGAGACUGGAAUUCCUGGUGUAGCGGUGGAAUGCGCAGAUAUCAGGAGGAACACCGAUGGCGAAGGCAGGUCUCUGGGCUGUAACUGACGCUGAGAAGCGAAAGCAUGGGGAGCGAACAGGAUUAGAUACCCUAGUAGUCCAUGCCGUAAACGUUGGGCACUAGGUGUGGGGGACAUUCCACGUUUUCCGCGCCGUAGCUAACGCAUUAAGUGCCCCGCCUGGGGAGUACGGCCGCAAGGCUAAAACUCAAAGAAAUUGACGGGGGCCCGCACAAGCGGCGGAGCAUGCGGAUUAAUUCGAUGCAACGCGAAGAACCUUACCAAGGCUUGACAU